GACGAAGGAUGCAAGCGUUAUCCGGAUUCAUUGGGUUUCAAGGGAGCGUAGGCGGCCUUAUAAGUCAGUGGUGAAAUCUCCUCGCUUAACGAGGAAAUUGCCAUUGAUACUGUAGGGCUUGAGUACAGUUGCCGUUGGCGGAAUAUGACAUGUAGUGGUGAAAUACAUAGAGAUGUCAUAGAACACCGAUUGCGAAGGCAGCUAACGAAACUGUAACUGACGCUGAGGCUCGAAAGUGCGGGGAUCAAACAGG
rnacentral:rRNA from 1 species